rnacentral:rRNA from 1 species
CCGUGAGGGUUGGGUUAAGUCCGCAACGAGCGCAACCCUAUUGCUAGUUGCCAUCACAUAAUGGUGGGCACUCUAGUGAGACUGCCCGGGUCAACCGGGAGGAAGGUGGGGACGACGUCAAGUCAUCAUGGCCCUUACGUCCAGGGCUACACACGUACUACAAUGGUGGAUACAGAGGGUCGCGAAGCCGCGAGGUCGAGCCAAUCCCAGAAAAUCCAUCCCAGUCCGGAUCGCAGUCUGCAACUCGACUGUGUGAAGUUGGAAUCGCUAGUAAUCCCAGAUCAGCAUGCUGGGGUGAAUACGUUCCCGGGCCUUGUACACACCGCCCGUCACACCACGAAAGCUGGUUCUACCCAAAAUCGACGGACUAACCUUCGGGAGGUAGUCGCCUACGGUAGGGCUGGUAAUUGGGGUGAAGUCGUAACAAGGUACCA